GGCCUGGCCGGGCGGUCUGCCUAACGGUAUGUACUGUCUGGCCGGGCCUUACCUCUUGGUGAGCCGGCAUGCCCUUCACUGGGUGUGUCGGUGAACCAGGACUUUUACCUUGAGAAAAUUAGAGUGUUCAAAGCAGGCCUAUGCCCGAAUACAUUAGCAUGGAAUAAUAAAAUAGGACGU
rnacentral:rRNA from 1 species